rnacentral:lncRNA from 1 species
GACGGAGCAGUGCAUUGGCAAUAUGCCAAGGGCAGUAACAUGCCGUCAGUCACGUCAGUCAUCGGCCUUGGCUAUCUGUAAGAAUCUUGGCAGGAAUCUUGGCCUUUUCUUGGACCCAUAGCCUCGGCCUUCGACCAAUCAUAUCGCCGAAUUCGCAAGCGGUGAGAGACAAAUACGGCGUGCCAAAGACAUAUUGGGUGUCUCAAAAUCACUGAGAACUCUGUAGCCAAUCUGUAGCUCAAAACUUAAGCCCUGCACUCUUUUAGAUCUACCCCGUUGAGUGGCAUUCUUGUGAAAAUUAUGUUAAGAUAUUUAUCAGAAUAAGGUAGAAGUGUAGGGGGUGGCAGGUAAGGUGCAGAAGAAGAAGAAGAAGAAGUUGUACCUAUCCAGUAAUUUUAUCUUGAUUUGUGGACUAGACGAAGACUAGAUUUUGAUGAAGAAAUCGACAAACUUGAACUGCAGGACUCGUGGCGCUGCUCGCCUCCUCGCCAAUGCGAAUGCGUUCUCUGAGGACAACCCGCCCAAGGCUACCAUGGCGAAGCCACGCCACCGCGCCGGCUAUAGACUCACGGCCUGAAGCGAGUUUGGGCGCGACGGCUGGCGAGCCAAGGUGGCGGAAAGUCGUCUGGCGGAGCUCCCGUCUGAGGCGAGCUUGAUCUGGUCAGACAGCUCCGCCAUCGAUGGUGUGCUAGAUGGAGGAGGAGGGGCCACCCCCCCCCCCCCCCCCCGAACCGCGACAUCCGAGAGGUGCGUGUCGCGGCAGGCGCCCUCUGCUCUAGCACGCGCGGCGAGCUAUUCGCCCUAAGAGCGGUGUUGGAGGAGCUGGCCGGACGGAUGGUACCGGUCGAUAUGGGUCGACCGCCGUCUAUCCCAACGGUAGCGCCGAUUGACGUGGGCGCUAUCUGCAAGGCAGGCGCGCGCGCGACGCUGCGCGCGCCUGGCAGCGGAGCUGGCCGGACGGAUGGUACCGGUCGAUAUGGGUCGACCGCUGUCCUGGCUCCGUCCUGGAGGCCGACCGUGCAGUCGUUAUCGACAUCCGCCAGUACCUGCUCUGCAUCGGCCGCCUCCCGAGGCCGGAUGCCCACAAUUCAACGACGUGUAGUGCCCUGCUGCCCGAUGCCGCGUCUGCCGCGAAGAGGCUGGCACUCCACGGUAUGUGCUGCUGCGAUGCGUGGCGCUGGCGGCGUUGCGACAAAGAGCCUCGGCAGCUGAACUGCUUCAAGCGACGUAAUGAUAUCUGCCAUCCCCUCCCCUAUCGAGCCGCGUGGGUGUGGACGGACCGGUCGGCAGACGCGAGAACCUGCAGCGAAGGAGCUGGGGUCUACGGGGAGUAGCAGGACGAAUGGACUGAUGAGCCGCGUGUCCCGACCGGUCCAUUCUGCUGUUCCAGCUCCAGGACCGGCCGCGCCGUCGCCACCCGUCCGGCGUCAGUGGAGGACCGCUCAUCAGCUGUCGAUUUUCAUCAGUUUCGUUUGGACCACUGGUCGGGCUCCUGCCAGUGCCGACAUUGGGUUGGGCGGAGUCCUAUCGAUGAAUGCCGCGAGUGCUGCAACAUUGGCUCGGUACAUCUCGGUACAUUUUCCCGAGUCUGGUGUGGCUACGGGGAGACGGAUUUGGUGACCCUGGCUGCCGCCGUGAGAACCAUCCAGAACCGUACGGCUAUGCUGCGGCAGCAGCUGAAAGGAACGCAACAACAAUAACUACAACAGCAGCUGCUAAUGAAAGGGGAAAUCAUGGAGCCGGAUGACCCGGCACAUGGCGCUCAGCCAGCUGAGAAUGAGAGCAGCUAUCAAAUCGCCAGCAGGGUGCUGCGGCUGGUAACUGACGACCUUAACAGAGAGAGCGCCUCCGCUGAUGCGGAUGAAACUACCCCCUCUCGGGUUUGUUUGACGCCGUCUCCGUCGACUCUUUCGCCUGGGCCGGCUGGCGACCGCGAAAUUUCUUGUGCAGUGACUCGUAACUAUGUUCACCAAACUUUUAAAACUCCUCACGUUAGCAUCUUUAAAGAAUGUUUCCCUUGUACACUGCUGCAAUGUCUUAUGUAGGCAUAUUGUAGGUACAGUCUAAAUGAGUGUGGAAUGCUUUGUUGUGCUUGCUUGUUCUGUAUUUCGUCUGCUAUUUAUCACGGUGACUAUAAUUUAUUUUGACCAACCCUUGCCUUGUUGCAAUUUUAGUGGAUGGUUUCUGAACUGCUGUUUGCAUUAUAGAUGUUGCUAGUGCGUAGACGCCAAAGAUUACUUUAUACCUAUUGACGCGCCAGAUAAAGGAGGUGAAGUAUUCCUCUGAUCUCUACCUACGAAAUUCCUUUAUGUGUGUUUUGUAAUCGAUAUUGGCGGUUUUCUUAUGUGAUGCGGUGUAGAGCGUGGCUGAGGAAGGCGAUGUUUAAAGUUGCUAGUUAUUUUUCAAUACAUCUAUGAUCGGAC